rnacentral:rRNA from 1 species
UAGGGAAUUUUGGACAAUGGGCGAAAGCCUGAUCCAGCAAUGCCGCGUGUGUGAAGAAGGCCUUCGGGUUGUAAAGCACUUUUGUCCGGAAAGAAAUCCUUGGCUCUAAUACAGUCGGGGGAUGACGGUACCGGAAGAAUAAGCACCGGCUAACUACGUGCCAGCAGCCGCGGUAAUACGUAGGGUGCAAGCGUUAAUCGGAAUUACUGGGCGUAAAGCGUGCGCAGGCGGUUUGCUAAGACCGAUGUGAAAUCCCCGGGCUCAACCUGGGAACUGCAUUGGUGACUGGCAGGCUAGAGUAUGGCAGAGGGGGGUUAGAAUUCCACGUGUAGCAGUGAAAUGCGUAGAGAUGUGGAGGAAUACCGAUGGCGAAGGCAGCCCCCUGGGCCAAUACUGACGCUCAUGCACGAAAGCGUGGGGAGCAAACAGGAUUAGAUACCCUGGUAGUCCACGCCCUAAACGAUGUCAACUAGUUGUUGGGGAUUCAUUUCCUUAGUAACGUAGCUAACGCGUGAAGUUGACCGCCUGGGGGAGUACGGUCGCAAGAUUAAAACUCAAAUGAAUUG